AUGAUCAAGUGUUCUGCACACCCGAUUCGUUGCUCGGAGGAGCAAGUGCAGUGGAUAGCUGAGGAGCUGGGUUGCCAAGUGACCGGAUGGCCUUGCCGGUACCUCGGACUGCCUUUGGGUUUGCGCAAGAUAUCGGCAUCGCAGCUGCAGUACGUGGUGGAUAGAAUGGCCGGUCGCCUCCCCGCAUGGCAAGCAAGACUGCUCUUCCGGGCUGGGCGACUGGAGCUAGUAAAG
rnacentral:rRNA from 1 species